rnacentral:rRNA from 1 species
AACGGACGAGAAGCUUGCUUCUCUGAUGUUAGCGGCGGACGGGUGAGUAACACGUGGAUAACCUACCUAUAAGACUGGGAUAACUUCGGGAAACCGGAGCUAAUACCGGAUAAUAUUUUGAACCGCAUGGUUCAAAAGUGAAAGACGGUCUUGCUGUCACUUAUAGAUGGAUCCGCGCUGCAUUAGCUAGUUGGUAAGGUAACGGCUUACCAACGCAGCGAUGCAUAGCCGACCUGAGAGGGUGAUCGGCCACACUGGAACUGAGACACGGUCCAGACUCCUACGGGAGGCAGCAGUAGGGAAUCUUCCGCAAUGGGCGAAAGCCUGACGGAGCAACGCCGCGUGAGUGAUUGAAGGUCUUCGGAUCGUAAAACUCUGUUAUUAGGGAAGAACAUAUGUGUAAGUAACUGUGCACAUCUUGACGGUACCUAAUCAGAAAGCCACGGCUAACUACGUGCCAGCAGCCGCGGUAAUACGUAGGUGGCAAGCGUUAUCCGGAAUUAUUGGGCGUAAAGCGCGCGUAGGCGGUUUUUUAAGUCUGAUGUGAAAGCCCACGGCUCAACCGUGGAGGGUCAUUGGAAACUGGAAAAUCUUGAGUGCAGAAGAGGAAAGUGGAAUUCCAUGUGUAGCGGUGAAAUGCGCAGAGAUAUGGAGGAACACCAGUGGCGAAGGCGACUUUCUGGUCUGUAA